rnacentral:rRNA from 1 species
AUUGAACGCUGGCGGCAGGCCUAACACAUGCAAGUCGAGCGGAUGCAGGGAGCUUGCUCCUGGAUUCAGCGGCGGACGGGUGAGUAAUGCCUAGGAAUCUGCCUGGUAGUGGGGGAUAACGUCCGGAAACGGGCGCUAAUACCGCAUACGUCCUGAGGGAGAAAGUGGGGGAGCUUCGGACCUCACGCUAUCAGGUGAUCCUAGGUCGGAUUAGCUAGUUGGUGGGGUAAAGGCCUACCAAGGCGACGAUCCGUAACUGGUCUGAGAGGAUGAUCAGUCACACUGGAACUGAGACACGGUCCAGACUCCUACGGGAGGCAGCAGUGGGGAAUAUUGGACAAUGGGCGAAAGCCUGAUCCAGCAAUGCCGCGUGUGUGAAGAAGGUCUUCGGAUUGUAAAGCACUUUUAGUUGGGAGGAAGGGCAGUAAGUUAAUACCUGGCUGUUUUGACGGUACCAACAGAAUAAGCACCGGCUAACUACGUG